AACGCUAGCUACAGGCUUAACACAUGCAAGUCGAGGGGCAGCAUUUCAGUUUGCUUGCAAACUGGAGAUGGCGACCGGCGCACGGGUGAGUAACACGUAUCCAACCUGCCGAUAACUCGGGGAUAGCCUUUCGAAAGAAAGAUUAAUACCCGAUGGUAUAAUCAGACCGCAUGGUCUUGUUAUUAAAGAAUUUCGGUUAUCGAUGGGGAUGCGUUCCAUUAGGCAGUUGGUGAGGUAACGGCUCACCAAACCUUCGAUGGAUAGGGGUUCUGAGAGGAAGGUCCCCCACAUUGGAACUGAGACACGGUCCAAACUCCUACGGGAGGCAGCAGUGAGGAAUAUUGGUCAAUGGGCGCAGGCCUGAACCAGCCAAGUAGCGUGAAGGAUGACUGCCCUAUGGGUUGUAAACUUCUUUUAUAUGGGAAUAAAGUUUUCCACGUGUGGAAUUUUGUAUGUACCAUAUGAAUAAGGAUCGGCUAACUCCGUGCCAGCAGCCGCGGUAAUACGGAGGAUCCGAGCGUUAUCCGGAUUUAUUGGGUUUAAAGGGAGCGUAGGUGGACAGUUAAGUCAGUUGUGAAAGUUUGCGGCUCAACCGUAAAAUUGCAGUUGAUACUGGCUGUCUUGAGUACAGUAGAGGUGGGCGGAAUUCGUGGUGUAGCGGUGAAAUGCUUAGAUAUCACGAAGAACUCCGAUUGCGAAGGCAGCCCACUGGACUGCAACUGACACUGAUGCUCGAAAGUGUGGGUAUCAAACAGGAUUAGAUACCCUGGUAGUCCACACAGUAAACGAUGAAUACUCGCUGUUUGCGAUAUACAGUAAGCGGCCAAGCGAAAGCAUUAAGUAUUCCACCUGGGGAGUACGCCGGCAACGGUGAAACUCAAAGGAAUUGACGGGGGCCCGCACAAGCGGAGGAACAUGUGGUUUAAUUCGAUGAUACGCGAGGAACCUUACCCGGGCUUAAAUUGCAUUUGAAUAUAUUGGAAACAGUAUAGCCGUAAGGCAAAUGUGAAGGUGCUGCAUGGUUGUCGUCAGCUCGUGCCGUGAGGUGUCGGCUUAAGUGCCAUAACGAGCGCAACCCUUAUCUUUAGUUACUAACAGGUCAUGCUGAGGACUCUAGAGAGACUGCCGUCGUAAGAUGUGAGGAAGGUGGGGAUGACGUCAAAUCAGCACGGCCCUUACGUCCGGGGCUACACACGUGUUACAAUGGGGGGUACAGAAGGCAGCUACCUGGUGACAGGAUGCUAAUCCCAAAAGCCUCUCUCAGUUCGGAUCGAAGUCUGCAACCCGACUUCGUGAAGCUGGAUUCGCUAGUAAUCGCGCAUCAGCCAUGGCGCGGUGAAUACGUUCCCGGGCCUUGUACACACCGCCCGUCAAGCCAUGAAAGCCGGGGGUACCUGAAGUACGUAACCGCAAGGAGCGUCCUAGGGUAAAACUGGUAAUUGGG
rnacentral:rRNA from 1 species